rnacentral:rRNA from 1 species
GAUGAACGCUGGCGGCGUGCUUAACACAUGCAAGUCGAGCGGGGGUUAUAUGAGCUUGCUCAAAUAACCUUAGCGGCGGACGGGUGAGUAACGCGUGAGCAACCUGCCCUAUACACAGGGAUAACAUUGAGAAAUCGAUGCUAAUACCUGAUAAACUUUAGAUAAGGCAUCUUAAUAAAAGGAAAGCUGAGGCGGUAUAGGAGGGGCUCGCGUCUGAUUAGCUAGUUGGUGUGGUAAAGGCAUACCAAGGCGACGAUCAGUAGCCGACCUGAGAGGGUGAUCGGCCACAUUGGAACUGAGACACGGUCCAAACUCCUACGGGAGGCAGCAGUGGGGAAUAUUGCACAAUGGGGGGAACCCUGAUGCAGCAACGCCGCGUGAAGGAAGAAGUAUUUCGGUAUGUAAACUUCUAUCGACAGGGAAGAAAGAUAUGACGGUACCUGAAUAAGAAGCACCGGCUAAAUACGUGCCAGCAGCCGCGGUAAUACGUAUGGUGCAAGCGUUAUCCGGAAUUACUGGGUGUAAAGGGUGAGUAGGCGGUUAUUCAAGUCAUAUGUGAAAGACUGUGGCUCAACCACAGAGGUGCAUAAGAAACUGAGUAACUAGAGUGCAGGAGAGGUAAGCGGAAUUCCUAGUGUAGCGGUGAAAUGCGUAGAUAUUAGGAAGAACACCGGUGGCGAAGGCGGCUUACUGGACUGAAACUGACGCUGAGUCACGAAAGCGUGGGGAGCGAACAGGAUUAGAUACCCUGGUAGUCCACGCUGUAAACGAUGAGUGCUAGGUGUUGGGGGGGAGACCUUCGGUGCCGUAGCAAACGCAAUAAGCACUCCACCUGGGGAGUACGACCGCAAGGUUGAAACUCAAAGGAAUUGACGGGGACCCGCACAAGCGGUGGAGCAUGUGGUUUAAUUCGAAGCAACGCGAAGAACCUUACCUAAACUUGACAUACCAUUGACAGCAUAUGUAAAGUAUGUUUCUUUCGGGACAAUGGAUACAGGUGGUGCAUGGUUGUCGUCAGCUCGUGUCGUGAGAUGUUGGGUUAAGUCCCGCAACGAGCGCAACCCUUAUUCUUAGUAGCCAGCGGGUAGAGCCGGGCACUCUAGGGAGACUGCCGUGGAUAACACGGAGGAAGGUGGGGACGACGUCAAAUCAUCAUGCCCCUUAUGUUUAGGGCUACACACGUGCUACAAUGGCUACAACAAAGUGAAGCGAGGCUGAAAGGCGGAGCAAAGCACAAAAAAGUAGUCCCAGUUCGGAUUGUAGUCUGCAACUCGACUACAUGAAGUUGGAAUCGCUAGUAAUCGCGGAUCAGAAUGUCGCGGUGAAUACGUUCCCGGGUCU